rnacentral:misc_RNA from 1 species
GUAGGUGAACCUGCGGAAGGAUCAUUACCGAGAUAUUGUCUCUGUCUGUGAAUAGCAGCGGGACAUCUCCCACCCUUUGUGUUACCAAUUUUUAUACUUUGGUGGAGCGUUUGAGCUUCUAGCAAGGCCAUCGACUUGUUCGCAAGAACAGUGGGUGAGUCUCUGCCAAAGGAACCACUUAACUCUUUUUUUGUUAAUACAACUUGUCUGAGUUUAUAAUAUCAAAAUAAACAAAACUUUCAACAACGGA